AAAACCACGGAGAAGAACAGAAAAAAUCGUCUACUUAAAGUUGUUUCCGCACUCUGAGAGGAGUCAGUUGUUUUUUUUUUCAUCCUGUCCGUGACUUGGUGACGUUUUACACUGUGUAUGUUGCCGGACGGGACUCGGCUAUUAAGGUUUGACCUGGAAAUUCUGAGCGAGUACCGGAGUGGGAUUCCAUGUUCGAGAUACAAGAUGGCCAGCCACCCAAAGACUCCGUGAACCGUGCAUCAUACAGAAGCCAAGCGCCUCUCCUGGACAUUGCGUGGUUUUCAUCAGGAACUGGUAGGAUUUAUCCAAAUCUUUAUGCAGAGCUGCAGUGGAUUCACAGACAUUGGAUUAACCGUUCAGGAUAAUCAAAGGAUUGACAGUUAAUGGGACAAAGAUUAUUACUUGUGAUAAACAAGGUUAUUCAGUCUUUUACUGAAUCCUUUUGAGUUUUGUAAAUUUUAUUUACUGUUGUUUUGUUAAUCAUAUCUGUUAAUGCUGUAAUGGUGUUAUCUGAGUUGUGAUUAUAAGCAGUUUUUUUGUUGGGUACCACAAAAGAAAAAAUUGAGAAUGGUUGAAAUUUAAAGAAAGAGUUUAACUAGAACUUGAAACUAAAACUAAAACUUUAUCCAGAAUAAAGCUGAGUAACUUAGAGAAAAGACAGAACGUGAACUUAGUGCAAACAAGAAAAAAACCUAGGUUGGAAAAAAAAUUAUCCUUUAAACCA